GACGAACGCUGGCGGCGUGCUUAACACAUGCAAGUCGAACGGAAAGGCCCUGCUUUUGUUGGGCGCUCGAGUGGCGAACGGGUGAGUAACACGUGUGUAACCUGCCCUUGACUUUGGGAUAACUUCAGGAAACUGGGGCUAAUACCGGAUAGGAGCUCCUGCUGCAUGGUGGGGAAUGGAGAGUUGCGGCGGUUGGGGAUGUACUCGCGGCUUACGAGCUGGUUGGUGUGGUAGUUGCAGACCAAGGCUUAGACGGGUAGCCGGCCUGAGAGGGUGAACGGCCACAUUGGGACUGAGGUACGGAGCAGACUCCAACGGGCGGCAGCAGUGGAGAGUAUUGCAGAGUGGGCGGAAGCCUGAUACAGAAACGCCGCGUGCGGGAUGCCGGCUUUCGGGGUGUAAACAGCUUUCGCCUGUGACGAAGCGUGAGUGACGGUAAUGGGUCAAGAAGCACCGGCUAACUACGUG
rnacentral:rRNA from 1 species